UUCGAUUCACUCGCAUGCACAGUGAUUCUUUGUAUUGAAGAAUUCAGAAAAUGGUUGCGCGCGCGAAUGAGUCGAAUACUUACUGAAGUAAGCAACAUUUCGAUUAAUGCGCGGUCUACUUGCUGCAUUCAAAAUCAUCAUGCGAGAUUCAGAAUCAUCCACCCAGGCGUAAUUUUAUCCCCAACAUUCGGUGAAAUAAAAUGAAAUUUAUAAGAACAGCCUGUAAAAGGCGCAUCAAAAUCUCCGAUACGUUACGAGUACCUGGUGUUCUUCUUGUUAGAGUGUUAGAGGUCCAAUUAGAACGUUAUUGUUAUACAAAAAUUUACGUGUACCUAUAUGUGCGUGAAAGAUUGAUGUAGUAUUAUGUAGUGAUGUAUCGAUGAAACGUAAAUCGUUUGUGUGUCAGUGCUGUUUA